UACGGAAGGCAGCAGUGGGGAAUAUUGGACAAUGGGCGAAAGCCUGAUCCAGCCAUGCCGCAUGAGUGAAGAAGGCCUUCGGGUUGUAAAGCUCUUUUAGUGAGAAAGAUAAUGACGGUACUCACAGAAGAAGUCCUGGCUAACUCCGUGCCAGCAGCCGCGGUAAUACGGAGAGGGCUAGCGUUAUUCGGAAUUAUUGGGCGUAAAGAGCGCGUAGGCUGAUUAGUAAGUUAAAAGUGAAAUCCCAAAGCUUAACUUUGGAAUUGCUUUUUAAAACUGCUAAUCUAGAGAUUGAAAGAGGAUAGAGGAAUUCCUAGUGUAGAGGUGAAAUUCGUAAAUAUUAGGAGGAACACCAGUGGCGAAGGCGUCUAUCUGGUUCAAAUCUGACGCUGAGGCGCGAAGGCGUGGGGAGCAAACAGGGAUUAGAUACC
rnacentral:rRNA from 1 species